UACGAGGGGGGCAAGCGUUGUUCGGAUUUGUUGGGCGUAAAGGGUGCGUAGGCGGUUUGGCAAGUCUUAUGUGAAAUCUUUGGGCUCAACCCAAAGUCUGCAUAAGAAACUGCCGGGCUCGAGUAUGGGAGAGGUGAGCGGAAUUUCCGGUGUAGCGGUGAAAUGCGUAGAUAUCGGAAGGAACACCUGUGGCGAAAGCGGCUCACUGGACCAUUACUGACGCUGAGGCACGAAAGCUAGGGGAGCAAACAGG
rnacentral:rRNA from 1 species